rnacentral:rRNA from 1 species
ACAAGUGGGGCAUGCUUACCAUGCAGUCGAACGGUGAAGCCCAGCUUGCUGGGUGGAUCAGUGGCGAACGGGUGAGUAACACGUGAGCAACCUGCCCCUGACUCUGGGAUAAGCGCUGGAAACGGCGUCUAAUACUGGAUAUGUGACGUGACCGCAUGGUCUGCGUUUGGAAAGAUUUUUCGGUUGGGGAUGGGCUCGCGGCCUAUCAGCUUGUUGGUGAGGUAAUGGCUCACCAAGGCGUCGACGGGUAGCCGGCCUGAGAGGGUGACCGGCCACACUGGGACUGAGACACGGCCCAGACUCCUACGGGAGGCAGCAGUGGGGAAUAUUGCACAAUGGGCGCAAGCCUGAUGCAGCAACGCCGCGUGAGGGAUGACGGCCUUCGGGUUGUAAACCUCUUUUAGCAGGGAAGAAGCGAAAGUGACGGUACCUGCAGAAAAAGCGCCGGCUAACUACGUGCCAGCAGCCGCGGUAAUACGUAGGGCGCAAGCGUUAUCCGGAAUUAUUGGGCGUAAAGAGCUCGUAGGCGGUUUGUCGCGUCUGCUGUGAAAUCCCGAGGCUCAACCUCGGGCCUGCAGUGGGUACGGGCAGACUAGAGUGCGGUAGGGGAGAUUGGAAUUCCUGGUGUAGCGGUGGAAUGCGCAGAUAUCAGGAGGAACACCGAUGGCGAAGGCAGAUCUCUGGGCCGUAACUGACGCUGAGGAGCGAAAGGGUGGGGAGCAAACAGGCUUAGAUACCCUGGUAGUCCACCCCGUAAACGUUGGGAACUAGUUGUGGGGUCCAUUCCACGGAUUCCGUGACGCAGCUAACGCAUUAAGUUCCCCGCCUGGGGAGUACGGCCGCAAGGCUAAAACUCAAAGGAAUUGACGGGGACCCGCACAAGCGGCGGAGCAUGCGGAUUAAUUCGAUGCAACGCGAAGAACCUUACCAAGGCUUGACAUAUACGAGAACGGGCCAGAAAUGGUCAACUCUUUGGACACUCGUAAACAGGUGGUGCAUGGUUGUCGUCAGCUCGUGUCGUGAGAUGUUGGGUUAAGUCCCGCAACGAGCGCAACCCUCGUUCUAUGUUGCCAGCACGUAAUGGUGGGAACUCAUGGGAUACUGCCGGGGUCAACUCGGAGGAAGGUGGGGAUGACGUCAAAUCAUCAUGCCCCUUAUGUCUUGGGCUUCACGCAUGCUACAAUGGCCGGUACAAAGGGCUGCAAUACCGCGAGGUGGAGCGAAUCCCAAAAAGCCGGUCCCAGUUCGGAUUGAGGUCUGCAACUCGACCUCAUGAAGUCGGAGUCGCUAGUAAUCGCAGAUCAGCAACGCUGCGGUGAAUACGUUCCCGGGUCUUGUACACACCGCCCGUCAAGUCAUGAAAGUCGGUAACACCUGAAGCCGGUGGCCUAACCUUUUUGGAGGGAGCCGUCGAAGUGAUUCCAGUC